rnacentral:rRNA from 1 species
UACAGAGGAUGCAAGCGUUAUCCGGAAUGAUUGGGCGUAAAGCGUCUGUAGGUGGCUUUUUAAGUCCGCCGUCAAAUCCCAGGGCUCAACUCUGGACAGGCGGUGGAAACUACCAAGCUGGAGUACGGUAGGGGCAGAGGGAAUUUCCGGUGGAGCGGUGAAAUGCGUAGAUAUCGUUUGGAACGCCAAUGGUGAAAACAGCUUGCUGGGAGUGUGCUGACGCUGAGACACGAAAGCCAGGGGAGCAAACGGG